rnacentral:misc_RNA from 1 species
GAGGAAGAGGAACAUCCGGCGGAAGUAGAGGAAACGGAAGUAGAGGAAACGGAAGUAGAGGAAAUGGAAGUGGAAAACGAAUCAGAGGAAUCCGCCGAAACGUUGGAACAGGAGCCUGAAAUUUCCGAGAAGUCCGUCGAAACGGAGGAAAAAGAGUCGGAAAGUGUUGAGGCAUAGAUAUAUUGGUUUCGAGAGAAGUGGAGAUUAAAGCGGUUAUAACAAGAUUGAAGAUUUGAUGAUAUGGGGAGGAUCUUUACUGAACGCUUGACAUUAGUGCCUUAUUAGGGGUAAAAUGUAAACUCUGUUCUAAUUGUCUAUAUAUGAGUGAUCAUCAAUUGGGUUAUUUUGACUGAUGAACAGAUUAAAUUUGUUUACAUGCAAAGAAAUGCAACAGGAUAUAAAUAAAUGUCUACAAU